UUCUAAACCGGAUUGAAGGGGAGAUCCUUUUUUGCCGCCUGAGCGUAGGGUUGAGUGUAAAAAAGAUCGUACCGGAAAGCCGGAGGAAAC
rnacentral:sRNA from 2 species